GCACCUCGAUGUCGGCUCAUCGCAUCCUGGGGCUGUAGUCGGUCCCAAGGGUUGGGCUGUUCGCCAAUUAAAGCGGUACGCGAGCUGGGUUCAGAACGUCGUGAGACAGUUCGGUCCCUAUCCGUCGUGGGCGUAGGAAAUUUGAGAGGAGCUGUCCUUAGUACGAGAGGACCGGGAUGGACAUACCGCUGGUGUACCAGUUGUCUUGCCAAAGGCAUCGCUGGGUAGCUAUGUAUGGACGGGAUAAGUGCUGAAAGCAUCUAAGCAUGAAGCCCCCCUCAAGAUGAGAUUUCCCAUUACGCAAGUAAGUAAGACCCCUGAAAGACGAUCAGGUCGAUAGGUUCGAGAUGGAAGUGCGGCGACGUACGGAGUUGACGAAUACUAAUAGGUCGAGGACUUAACCAAAUAAC
rnacentral:rRNA from 1 species